rnacentral:rRNA from 1 species
GAUUAACGCUGGCUACAGGCUUAACACAUGCAAGUCGAGGGGAAACGACGGGGAAGCUUGCUUCCCCGGGCGUCGACCGGCGCACGGGUGAGUAACGCGUAUCCAACCUGCCUCUGACUGAGGGAUAACCCGUCGAAAGUCGGCCUAAUACCUCAUGGUAUCGUCUGCGGGCAUCCAACGACGAUUAAAGAUUUCAUCGGUCAGGGAUGGGGAUGCGUCUGAUUAGCUUGUUGGCGGGGUAACGGCCCACCAAGGCUACGAUCAGUAGGGGUUCUGAGAGGAAGGUCCCCCACAUUGGAACUGAGACACGGUCCAAACUCCUACGGGAGGCAGCAGUGAGGAAUAUUGAUCAAUGGGCGAGAGCCUGAACCAGCCAAGUAGCGUGCAGGAAGACGGCCCUAUGGGUUGUAAACUGCUUUUAUGCGGGGAUAAAGUGAGGGACGUGUCCCUCAUUGCAGGUACCGCAUGAAUAAGGACCGGCUAAUUCCGUG